UGUAUAGGGAAAACUGGUAAAAUGUGAUGUACCUAAUAGUAUUAGUGAUUAAUAUGAAAUUAACUAAGUUAAUUAAAAUUCGAAGUAGAUAUGUGAUUAUGACAAUAUUUGCUUAUAUCUUGACCAAGUCACGUGCCAGCAGUCGCGGUAAUACGUGGAAGAUCAGUGUUAUUCAUCUUUAAUAGGUUUAAAGGGUACCUAGACGGUUAAUUAAGCAUAUUUUUGUACUAAUUAUUAACUAGAGUUUAAUGUAAGAAGGAUUGAGUACGGUGAGUGUAGAGUUAAAAUUCAGUCAUACCACUUAGGAACUGGUAAAGGCGAAGGCAACCUUUUAUGUAAAAACUGACGUUAAGGGACGAAGGCUCGUAUUAAGCAAUAGGAUUAGAGACCCUAGUAUUGUGGGCAGACAAUGAUGAGUGUCAUAUGCAAGAAUUUUUUUUGUGUAUAAAUGAAAGUGUAAGCACUCCACCUCAAGAGUAACGUGGCAACAUGGGAACUGAAAUCAUUAGACCGUUUCUGAAACUCGUAGUGAAGUAUGUUGUUUAAUUUGAUAACCCUCAAAUAACCUUACCACAAUUUGUAUAACUAUUAAAAAUUAAUAACUAGUAACAAGCGUUGCACGGCUGUCUUCAGUUAAUGUUGUGAAACUUUGGUUAGAUCCAUCAAAUUGACGUAAACCCUUGCUUUAUUUAUUAUAAAGCAGUUCGCCGCUAUAUUGGUAGUGAUAUAAGGGACUAAGACAAGUCAUCAUGACCUAAACAUUGUGGGCUAUAGACGUGCCACAUUACCCUUAACAAAAAGAGGCAAAA
rnacentral:rRNA from 1 species